rnacentral:misc_RNA from 1 species
ACUUGUAAUAUCAUUUAAGUGCAAGAACAUACACUUAUUCAUACAAAUUUAAUGUCCUUUUGAAAAAGUAAUAAUAAAAUUUGAAAAAAAAUUAAAUAUCUAGGAAUUCCAGGGCAUUGAUAAUGUAUUUAAAUCAAAAUGAACUUUGUAGGUGUUUUAGUCUUGGUUUUUUUAAACAAGAUUGAUGUUAAUGGUAUUAUUUUUGGAACUCAAUGCUUAGAUCAAGAAACCUGUAUUUUUAAUACAACAAUAAUGGAGUUUAGCAAGAUAAGGAAAAACCUGGCAGCUUUUUAUGAUGAAUUUGAGAUAUUUUUUGAUAUAAAAUUCAAUGAUUCAGCUGGAGAUAUCCUGUUAUUAACCAAUUCAAAAUUCAGUAUUUUUACUAUAAAACUAUUAGCUGAUUCAACUUCUAUGUACCACAGAUUGAAUAUUACAUAUUUAAAUAACAGUUGGAUAAUUACUAAGUUAUUAAAAGGAUGUUAUCACUCGAUUAAUAUUUCUCAAUAUUUUGUCUCUAAGCACUAUGAUUUCACAAUCGCAGUAAACCAAAGUAUGAAGAAUUAUACAAAAUUUACACAAAAAACAGUAAACUUUAACAUUAGUGUGCAGAUUGGUUUUUGCCAUGAUGUAUCUAUCCGAAAGUUACGUAUUGGUAGUAAUUUAAUAGUAUCUACAACACCAAGAUUAUCAACACUAACUUUAACAAAGUCAAUAACUACAAUAACUCAUCCGUUUACUACGCAGAAACUGUUUUCAACUUCUACAACACUAAGAUUAUCAACACUAAAUUUAACAAAGGCAAUUACUACAAUAGCUCAUCUGUUAUCUACACAGAACUUGUUUUCAACAUCUACUACACCAAGAUUAUCAGCACUAACUUUAACAAAGUCAAUAAGUACAUGGGAUCAUCUGUUAUUUUCACAAAAGCCAUUUUCAACGUCUACUACGCCAAGAUUAUCAACACUAACUUUAACAAAGUCAAUAAAUACAAUGGAUCAUCCGUUGACUACACAGACUCCAUUUUCAAAUUCAAUAUUUAUCGAUUUGAUAAAUGGCAACACAAGUACAAAUUUAAUUUCAUGGGGAGAAUGGAGUGCCUGGUCAAGUUGUAAUGACUCAUAUGGCAAAGGUUUUAUGAACAGAUUUCGGUAUUGCAAUGUGUCAAAUGAAUGUUGUUCCGCUAACUAUUUAGAUGUAAAAGAAUGUUAUGAUUCAAUCGUUUUUGAUGAGAUAGCAGGUUUCACAAACACAAGCCUAAAUUUUUUUUAUGAAGAAUUUGUGGUAUCAUUUGAAAUAUUUAUCAAUAAAUCAGGGUAUUUUCUGAGUUUAGACAAUAAUGUAAUGAGUUUUUAUAGUUGGGAGAAUACCUUUAUAGUAGCAGUUCUACUAAAUGAUGAAAUCUUCAUAAGAAAUAUAUCAAUAUCAAAAUAUACUUGGAAUGCAAUCAAAGUAUCUCAGUUAUUUAACGAGAAUGACAACACUUUCAUUACAGCAAUAGUUGUUAAUGGAACUGUUUUGACUUCUGCUAUCAACUCUCAACCAAAAGUUUUUAUUGAUGUCAAUGUGACCACUUUCUUUAAUUGUUAUAACGUUUCAGAAUGUUUUUAUGCAACAAUUAAAAAUUUAUCAAUUUACAGCAAAAAAAAAGCAUAUUGGUCACAUUGGAGCAAUUGGUCACACUGUAACAUUUCAUAUGGUAUUGGGAUUAUGAAUAGAACUAGAAAAUGCAAUGUUUUAAAUUCUGUGAAGCAAUGUUCUGGCAAAAACAUUGAAAUAAACAAUUGUUGUUUUAGUGAGACCUUCACAGGCAAUAUUGAUGAAGUAAUCAAGUGUUGUUUAAAUGAAACAUUCAAGGUUUCUUGGAUGCUAUGGGGUGACUGGUCAAAUUGUAAUAUUUCAUAUGGCCAUGGCUUUAUGACUAGAACAAGGAAAUGUAACUCUAUGUUUAAUGCUAUUGAGUGUUGCUCUGGCAACAACAUUGAAAUACAGGAUUGUUUUGAAUGGUCAACAUGGAGUGAAUGUUCUGUAACAUGUGGAGAUGGUGUUAGAAGUAGAAGUUUCAUAAAUAUGUUAAUGAAUCGUGUUAUUGAACCUUGCAAUAUAGUUAGCUGUCCAGUGGAUGGGAUGUGGAGUGAUUGGAAAAAUUCAUCAUGUUCAACAACUUGUGAUUAUGGAAUAACUGCAUUUAGCAGAAAUUGUGAUCAUCCUUCUCCAACACAUAAUGGAAAAACCUGCAUUGGUAUUAGCAAUUACACAGAUGAAUGUAAUAGUAAUGCCAUUUGUCCAGUAAAUGGUUUUUGGUCUGAGUGGUCUGAAUGGUCAUUGUGUAAUCAACCAUGUGAAGGUGGUGCGAUGUCAAAAUUUCGUAGCUGCUCCAAGCCUUCUCCAAAAUACGGUGGCUCGCCCUGCUAUGGAAAUAGUACAGAAACUACUGCUUGCCUCUGGAAAAGUUGCAGAAGAAUCAACUUAAAUUUAGAAGUUUUGUUUCUGGAUGAGAUAUAUCAACAGGAUUAUUCUAAUUUGUAUUAUCCUACUUCUUUAAACCUGAAAGGUCAUAUAGAAAAGUCGAUUGGCAAACUUUACAAUGACUUUAAUAUGAAUUGGCUGAUUCUUUCAAAUCGAAUGUGUUUAAAACAAUUAUGUAUCAGUUGAUUCAACUGCUUGUAGAUAUUAGAUGGAUCUUUUCAAACAAAGUGCCAAUGCCUCAAAUACGGAAUAUAUACAAGAAUACAUCUAAAAGAAGAUUUGUGAACUUGCAACAAUCUGAUACAGUAUCAGCAAAGGCAGUUCGAAAGCAUCAUUUGAAAACAUGGAGGAAAGAGAUUGUUUUUAUGACAAUGUGCUUUACGUUUCUGAGGUGUUUUAGUGCAAUUACAAUAUGUUAUGCAAUCUACUAACUCAUUUGACUUUUUAGGUCAAUUUGUCUAACAAUUAUUAUUUCCCAAAAGUUUGACAACAAAGUUUCAUAUUUAGGUUCAAUUAGGUGUUUAAAGUUUAACCCAAAGAUGAAAGGUGCAAUACUUAAUCGUAUCGGAUCAGAAAGCAAGAUUAUCGUUAAAGUCUUAUAAAUAAUAGUUUAUUUAUUGUAAGAAGUAUGGUAACUAAGUAGGAGGUUAGGAAAUAGUAACAUUGAGUUUUAUAAUAAGUAGAGUUUAGUAAUUAUUGGCAAUUCGAGUUAGUUUCGAUAAAUGUAAAUCGAAAAUCGUAAGGUGUUAAUGAUUAACAGGAUUUUCAAAAAUGGUUAUUUAAAACUGCGUUAAUACCGGUGGCAAAUUAAUUUUAGGUAAAAUUAAACUGACCCUGAUUCAAAACAAAUUGUAAUUUGUAUCUAAUAGACAGCACAACUGUGAAAGAAAUUCCUAAACAAAACGUUUUAAAGCUUGUAUCUGGUCUGAUACAAGCUUUAAAAGCUACAUAUUGUAGCCCGUCUGAUGUUUAUAGGUCUUCAGCUAUCCGUAAAACCACUUUUAAUAAUGAAAGAAAGCAAAUUUGAAAUAAGGGAGAGCUAAUUUUUCACAAUAGGAUUCGCAAAUAAAUACUUUAUGAAAAUAUGCGAAUGGCGGUAACAAAAAUAUUUUUUUUUUGUUUUUUGGGAAAAACAAGGCUGUGCUUAGCACAAGACCAAAUCUUGCUUAUUAUUGAUCAUAAAGUUUGCAAACAUUUUGACACGCUUUUAAAUAUAUUAUUUUCAUUAUUACUCUAAUUAUUAUUGUUAUCAAU